AAAACAUUGGGAUGCAUGUGCCCCUCUGAAACAGCAUACCUGUAUUCCUUGGAUGAAUACCUAGUAGUGCAAUUGCUGAAUUGUAGGGUAGUUCUAUUUUUAAUUUUUUGAGGAACCUCCAGUUUGCAUUCCCACCAGCAAGCAAAAGAGAUCCUCUUUCUCUGCAUCCACACCAACAUCUGUUGUUGCCCGAGUUGUUAAUGUUAGCUAUUCUGACAAGUGUGAGGUGAUAUCUCACUGUGGUUUUGAUUUGUGUUUCCCUGAUGACGAGUGAUAUUGAGCAUUUUUUCAUGUGUCGGUUGCCUAUCUGGAAAUCUUCUUUGGAGAAGUGUCUAUUCAUGUCUUUUGUCCAUUUCUUCAGUGGAUUGUUUGUUGGUUGGGUAUUGAGUUUUAUAAGUUCUUUAUAAAUUUUGGAUACGAACCCUUUAUCUGAUAUGUCAUUUUCUAAUAUCUUUUCCCAUUCCAUCAGUUGCCUUUUAGUUUUGCUGAUUGUUUCCUUCCCUGUGCAGAAGAUUUUCAUUUUGAUGAAGUCUCAAUAGAUGAAAAUUUUUGCUCUUGUUUCCCUUGCCUCUAGAGACAUGUUGAGUAAGAAGUUACUGUGGCUGAGAUCAAAACGUUUUUGCCUGCUUUCUCCUCUAGGAUUUUGAUGGCUUCCAAUAUGAUGUUUAGGUCUUUCAUCCAUUUUGAGUCUCUUUUUGUGUAUGGUGUAAGAAAGUGGUCCAGCUUCACUUUCUGCAUGUCGCUGUCCAGUUUUCCCAGCACCACUUGCUGAAGAGACUGUCUUUAUUCCAUUGGAUAUUCUUUCCUGCUUUGUCAAAGAUUAGUUGGCCAUACAUUUAUGGGUCCAUAUCUGGGUUCUCUAUUCUGUUCCAUUGAUCUGAGUGUCUGUUUUUGUGACAUAGUGUCUUGAUGAGUACAGCUUUGUAAUACAUCUUCAAGUCUGGGAUUUUGAUGCCUCCAGCUUUUGUUUUCUUUUUCAAGAUUUCUUUGGCUGUUGGGGUCUUUUCUGGUUCCAUACAGAUUUUAGGUUUGUUUGUUCUAGCUCUGUGAAGAAUGCUGGUGUUAUUUUGAUAGGGAUUGCAUUGAAUAUGUAGAUUGCUUUGGGUAGUAUCGACAUUUUAACAAUAUUUGUUCUUCCUAUCCAGGAGCAUGGAAUAUUUUUCCAUAUGUUUGUGUCUUCUUCCAUUUCUUUUAUAAGCUUUCUAUAGUUUUCAGUGUAUAGAUUUUUCACCUCUUUGGUUACAUUUAUUCCUAUGUCUUUUAUGGGAUUUGGUGCGAUUAUAACUAGGAUUGAUUCCUUGAUUUCCCUUUCUGUUGCUUCAUUAUUGGUGUAUAGGAAUGCGACUGAUUUCUGUGCAUUGAUUUUAUAUCCUGAGACUUUGCUGAAUUCAUGGAUCAGGUCUAGCAGGUUUUUUUGGUGCAAUCUUUUGGGUUUUCCAAAAAGAGUAUCAUGUCAUCUGUUAAAAAGAAAGUUUGACUUCCUCCUUGCCAAUAUGGAUGCCUUUUAUUCCUUUGUGUUGUCUGAUUGCUGAGGCUAAGACUUCCAAUACUAUGUUGAAUAACAGUGGUGAGAGUGGACAUCCCUGUCUUAUUCCUGACCUUAGGGGGAAAGGUGUCAGUUUUGCCCCAUUAAGGAUGAUAUUAGCGUUGGGUCUUUCAUGUAUGGCUUUUAUGAUCUUGAAGUAUGAUCCUUCUAUCCCUACUUUCUUGAGGUUUUCGUCGAAAGAGGAUGUUGUAUUUUGUCAAAUGCUUUCUCUGUAUCUAUUGAGAGGAUCAUAUGGUUCUUGUCCUUUCUUCCAUUGAUGUGAUGAAUCAUAUUGAUUGUUUUGCAGAUAUUGAACCAGCCCUGCAUCCCAGGUAUAAAUCCCACUUGGUCAUGGUGAAUAAUUCUUUUAGUGUAUUGUUGGAUCCAGUUGGCUAAUAUCUUGUUGAGGAUUUUUGCAUACAUAUUCAUCAGGGAAAUUGAUCUGUAGUUCUCCUUUUUAGUGGGUCUUUGUCUGAUUUUGGAAUCAAAGUGAUGCUGGCUUCAUAGAAAGAGUUUGGAAGUUUUCCUUCCAUUUCUAUUUUUUGGAAUACCUUCAAGAGAAUAGGUAUUAACUCUUCUUUAAAUGUUUGGUAGAAUCCUUUGGAAAUCUAUCUGACCCAGGUCUCUUGUUUUUUUGGGAGAUUUUUGAUAACUAAUUCGAUUUCUUUACUGGUUAUGGGUGUGUUCAAAUUUUCUAUUUCUUCCUGUUUCAGUUUUGGUAGUUUAUAUGUUUCCAGGAAUUUGUCCAUUUUUUUCCAGAUUGUCAAUUUUUUUGGCAUAUAAUUGCUGGUAAUAUUCUCUUAUUCUUGUUUGUAUUUCUGCUGUGUUGGUUGUGAUCUCUCCUCUUUCAUUCUUGACUUUAUUUAUUUGUAUCCUUUCCUUUUUCUUUUUGAUCAAACUGGCUAGGGGUUUAUCAAUUUUGUUCAUUCUUUCAAAGAACCAGCUCCUGAUUUCAUUGAUCUGUCCUACUGGGUUUUUUGGUUUUGAUAGCAUUGAUUUCUGCUCUAAUCUUUACUACUUCCUGUCUUCUCUGGUUUGGGGUUUUAUUUGCUGUUCUUUUUCAAGAUCUUUAAGGUGUAAGGUUAGGUUGUGUAUCUCAGAUGUUUCUUCCUUCUUAGAAAGGCCUGGAUUGCAAUAUGCUUCCCUCUUGUCUGCCUUUGCUGCAUCCCAGAGGUUUUGUGCUGGGGUAUUAUCAUUUUCAUUGGCUUCCAUGUACUUUUUAGUUUCUUCUUUAACUUCUUGGUUAGCCCAUUCAUUCUUUAGUAGGAUGUUCUUUAGUCUCCAAGUAUUUGUUAUCUUUCCAAAUUUUUUCUCGUGGUUGAUUUCGAGUUUCAUAGUGCUGUGGUCUGAAAAUAUGCCCAGUAUGAUCUCAGUCUUUUCAUAUUUGUUGAGGACUGAUUUGUGUCCUAGUAUGUGAUCUAUUCUGGAGAAUGUUGCAGGUGCAGUGGAGAAGAGUGUGUAUUCUGCUGCUUUAGGAUGAAUUGUUCUGUAUAUAUCUGUUAAGUCCAUCCAGUCCAGUGUGUCAUUCAAAGCUAUUGUUUCAGUGUUGGUUUUCUGUUUAUAUGAUCUGUCCAUUGUUGUAGGUGGGGUGUUGAAGUCCCCUACUAUUAUGGUAUUAUUAUGUUUGUGAUUAAUUGAUUUAUUUGUCUGGGUGCUUUCACGUUUGGAGCAUAAAUGUUUAUAAUUGUUAGAUCUUCUUGGUGGAUAGACCCCUUAAUUAUGAUAUAAUGCCCUUCUUCAUCUCUUAUUACAGUCUUUAUUUUAAAAUCUAGAUUUUCUGUUAUAAGUAUCACUACUCAGGCUUUCUUGUCAUGACCAUUAGCAUGAUAGAUGGAUCUCCAGCCCCUUAUUUUCUAUCUGAAAGUGCCUUUAGGUCUAAAAUUGGUCUCUUAUAAACAGCAUAUAGAUCUAUUGUGUUUUCUUAUCCAUUCUGUUACCCUAUGUCUUUUUAUUGGAGCUUUAGUCCAUUGAUGUUUACAGUGAGCACUGGAAGAUAUGAAUUUAUUGUCAUUACAUUGCCUGUAGAGUUGGAGUUUCUGGUGGUGUUCUCUGGUGCUUUCUAGUCUUUGUUGCUUUUGAGCCUUUUUGUUUUGUUUUUUUGUUUUUGUUUUUGUCUUUUCUCCCCUCAGAGUCCCCCUUAAAAUUUCUUGCAGUACCAGUUUAGUUGCCACAAACUCCUUUAAUUUUUGUUUGUAGGGAAACUUUUAAUCUCUCUUUCUAUUUUGAAUGACAGCCUUGCUGGAUAAAGAAUUCUUGGUUGCAUAUUUUUCCAAUUCAGCACAUUAAAUAUAUCCUGCCACUCCUUUCUUCCCUGCCAAGAUUCUAUGGAUAGGUAUGCUGCAAACUUGAUGUCUUCCCUUGUAGGUUAAGGACUUUUUUUCCCUUGCUGCUUUCAUGAUUCUUUCCUUGUCUGAAUAUUUUGCAAAUUUGACUAUGAUAUGCCUUGUUAAUGGUCGGUUUGUGUUGAAUCUAAUGGGAGUCCUCUGUGCUUCCUGGAUUUUGAUGUCUGUGUCUUCUCCCAGCUUAGGAAAGUUUCUGCUAUGAUUUGCUCACAUAACUCUUCUACCCCUUUUUCUCUCUGUUCAUCUUCUGGGACCCCUAUGAUUCAGAUAUUAUUUCUUUUUAAUGAGUCACUGAUUUCUUUAAUUCUUAAAUCAUGCUCUUUUGUCUUAGUUCUCUUUUUUCUGCUUCAUUAUUCUCUGUAAGUUUGUCCUCUAUAUCACUGAUUUGCAGCUCGGCUUCCUCCAUCCUUGCCACCGUGGCAUCCAUUUGAGAUUGCAGCUCAGUUAUAUCAUUUUUUAUUUCAUCUUGACUAGCUUUUACUUCUUUUAUCUCUGCAAAAAUGGAUUCUAAUCUAUUUUCGACCCCAGCUCAUAUUCUUAUUAUCAUGAUUCUAGUUUCUGGUUCAGAUACCUUGCUUGCAUCUGUGUUGAUUAAGUCCCUGGCUGUCAUUUCUUCCUCUUCUUUCUUUUGGGGUGAAUUCCUUCAUUUUGUUAUUUUGAAGGAAGAAAUGAAAUUAAUAAAGUAAAAAAAAUUAAAAUUAAAAAAUUAAAAACAACACAAAAAAUCAAAUAAUGGAUGCUAGAUCCUAGGUGUGGUUUUCUUCUUAGGUUGUUGAAAAAAAACUUGAUUAGAUUAGAGAAAAAAGAGAAAGAUAAGAAAAAAAAGGAAAAUAAAAUAAGAGGAAAAUAGUUUGAAAAUUUGAAAAACUGGAUAUCAUAAAAUGCAAUAAAAUGAAUGGUAGGAGUAAAAUAUAAUUUAAAAAGUUUACAAAAAUAAAAAAUAUGGUAGAAAAAAAUUAAAGAAAAAUAUUUUUAUUUAAAAUUGAAAAUAAAAAUAAUUUUUUUCUCUUUCUGUAUUCAAGAAUAAGAAAGGAAAAGAAAAAAAUUGACUAGAUGUAUCAGUGAAUAGAAUCAAGUACGAUUAAAAUUAUAUUUUUUCCCCCUAGAAGUCAAACUAUGAAGCACUUUAUAGUCCAUAAACUAAGCAGGCAGAAAGACUUACAGUGUUCCUCAAGAGUGCAGUUGGCCCAGUUGGGUGAGGUUUAGUGUAACGGCUCCAUCUUCCACUAGAUGGUGCUGCUUAGGUUACUGGGGUGGAUUGCUGUGAAGCUUGUAGGUGUGUAUGCGCUGCGAGUGAGGGGUGUCACCCAACUACUAAGUCUCUAUUAUCAGAACUCUGCACUCUCCCCUACCAGUGAUCAAGCACCCCUCCUUCGUCUCUAGCUUCCAUCCACUCUCCACUCCUACACUCUCUGUGACUAAGCAGGCUGCCAGGCAGCACCUCAUUCCUGAGUUUUAUCUCACAUAGAGCUGUGUUUCCCAACUCCUCCCUUCUGAGUGACUGUGGCUUUGACCCAUUCCUACCCUUUGGGGGAGGGUCUCACUGAGAAAUGGCUGGGUACUGGCCACACGCAGGAAUGUUCGCACAACCGUGCUGCUGCAGAAGCUUAGAGACUGUGCCUGGGUGCCAGCCUGCCCCAGAAAAAGUUUGUGAGAUCAUGCAGCAGCAUUUCAGAGAUUAUGGCAAGUCACAACACACAUCUGUCACCAGGUCACCCCUAACAUCCUCUCCAACAGCAGUGAAUGCAGCCAUUCUCCAUGGUCCACUGGGACCUUUGACUGUGGGGAGGCCACACCGCCUCUAUCAAAUGACCUCCCAGCAGGGGAACAACCACUUCCUGUGUGGCCCAGGACCCCAAGGACCUUACUUUCUGCUCCCAUGGAUAUACCCUCCCACCAGAGCACCACCAGGCUCCAUCAUAACAUGGAUUUCCAAGAACACAUCAGCAUAGGUGCCUGUUUACAAAGCAAAUUCAUAAAGUCAGACUUUCCAGUAUUGGGACCCCAGAAUCUACAUAUUUUUAACCUUUGGAUUAACAAUCAUGUUUGGGAUUCACCGAGAAGAUUCUCUUUCAUCCAAAGCAUUCUUAAAGUGUGUAAACCUGGCUCAGGUUAUCGCUAAUCGGAAUCUUUCACAUGGCUCGAUUUUGAUCCACAGUAGA